rfam:Oryza punctata chromosome 5, whole genome shotgun sequence.
UUUAAGCGUAACCAUAAGUUCCCGUAUCCAAUUUUGAUUGUUCGUCUUAUGUGAAAUUUUUUUUUAUGAUUAGUAUUUUUAUUGUUAUUAGAUGAUAAAACAUAAAUAGUAAUUUAUGUGUGGCUUAUAUUUUUUAUUUUUUAAAAAAAUUUAAAUAAGACGGACGAUUAAAAUUAGACACAGAAACUCAUGGUUGUGUUUAAA